rnacentral:sRNA from 1 species
UUGUAGAUUUUAUGUCUCUGUGGAAUAUUGGUGGCUUACAACCAUUUUGCAGAUACUCCAAUCCUGAGGCUGCAUCCACUGCUAUACGAAGUCUCUUUUCCCAGCUGAAGAAAUUUCUUUUGCUUCGUUUACCUGCGUAAUCAAGUUCUAUCACUUUUUGUACAUACUUUUGGUUCACUAAAUGUUAGUCAUAUGACUAGUAAAAUUGUCCAAUGAAGAAAUAUCCAUAUCCACGAAGUUUGGAAAUUUAUUGCUCAUAUUUUAAACAACAAAAUAUUUGUUUGGGUGCAAACCAGAGAGAUGUUCUUGUAAGUUUCCG